GCUGAGGUGGCGGAAUUGGUAUACGCGGUAGCCUUAGGAGCUACUGGGGGCAACCCCUUGGAGGUUCAAGUCCUCUCCUCAGCACAA
rnacentral:tRNA from 1 species